UACGUUCCCGGCUUGUACACACCGCCCGUCACGUCAUGAAAGUCGGUAACACCCGAAGCCGGUGGCCUAACCAUUUUGGGGGGGAGCCGUCGAAGGUGGGAUCGGCGAUUGGGACG
rnacentral:rRNA from 1 species